UACUCCACCAUCAAAUAUGGAAUUAAUUCCUUCUGUCUUACCAUAUGUUUGUACCCUUUAACCCAGUCCUCCUCUUCCUCUCUUUUCUCCCACACUCACCCUUCCCAGUCUCUGUUAUUUAUUUUUCCCCUCUUGACCUCCAUGUGAUCAAAUAUUUUAGUUCCCACAUACAAGUGAGAACACGCAAUAUUUAUUUCUUUGUGUUUGGAUUAUUUCACUUAAGAUAAUUCUCUCCAAUUCCAUCCAUGUUGCCACAAAUGACAUGUUUUCUUUCUUUUUAUGACUGAAUAGAAUUCCAUUACAUAUAUAUAUGACAUUUUCUUUAUUCAUUCAUUUGUUGAUGAAAACGGGUUGAUUCUAUAUAUUUGCUAUUGUGAAUAGUGCUGCAAUAAACAUUCCAAGUUUACAUAUAUCUUUUAUAUUUUGAUUUCUGUUCCUUUGGAUAGAUAGGAUGUGUACAUGAAAAAUCCAAAGAAAUUUAUAAUUAACAAGCAAAGUAAUUAGAUACAAGAUAGUAUACACGAAUCAGAUGUAUUUUGAAACAAUAGCAACAAUUAGAAAAUUAUUUUUUCAGACAGGAUCUUACUCUGUCACCCAGGCUGGAGUACAGUGGCACAAACUCACCGCAGCCUUGAACUCUUGGGCUCAAGCAGAGCCCUCCCACCUCAGCCUCCUCCCACCUCAGCCUCCUCCCAUCUCUGCCUCCCCAGUAAUUAGGAUUACAGUCAGGUACUACCACGCUUGGCUAAAUUUUUUUUUUUUGAGAUGGGGUCUCCCUGUGUUGCCCAGGCUGGUCUUGAACUCCUGGCCUCAAGUGAUCCUCCUGCCUCAACCUCCCAUAGUGCUGGGAUUACAGGAGUGAGCCACUGUACCUUGCCUGAAAAUUAAUUUUUAAAUGACAUCAUUUACAAUUGCAUUAAAAAUAUCAAACAGUUAGGAACUAGUGAAAUGUGUGAAAGAAAACUAUAAAACAUUGACAUAAAUUAAAGAAGAGUAUCUUCAAAUAAAUAAAGAGAUAUUCCAUGUUCAUGGGCUGAAAAUCUUUAUAUUGUAAAAUAUAAAUUAUUCCUCCACAUAAUCUAUAGAAUCUAAGCAAUCCCAUUCAACAUCCCAGCAGUUAUUUUUAUGGAAAUUAGCCAGUUGAUUCUAAAGUUUAUAUGGAAAUGCAAAAGGCUAAAAUAGCAAACACAAUUUCAAAGAAUAACGAAGUAAGAAUAUUUAGAAUACUAGAUAUCAAGACAGUAAUUCAAACAGUAUGAUAUGGACAUGAGAAUAAAUAAACAGACCAAUGAAAGAGAAUAGUGUUUAGUGGGCAUGCCUCUUUGGAAAACCACUUAGCAGAAUCAGUUAACACUGAACAUGUACACACCCUGCAGCCCCACAAAUCCCCUCUCUUCUAGGUACAGAAUAAUGCCCCCCCUCCGACACAAAUAUCUAGCUACAGUGUAAUUAGUAUGUCUCCAUACUAAUCCCCAGAAUCUAUGCAUACGUUACCGUACAUGGCAAAAAAUAAUUAAGGUUAUAGGUAGAAUUCAGUUGACCUGAUCAGCUGACCUUAAAAUAGAGAAAUGAUCUGGGAUUAUUCAAGUGGCUGCAAACCUAAUGAGAUGAGUCCAUAAAAAGGAAGGAAGAAGAGCCUGUGAGAAGGGUCUGACCUACCCUUGCUGGUUUUGAAGAUAGUCGAAGGGUCCUCAAACCAAGGCAUGCAGAUGGCUUCUAGAAGCUGGGAAUGGCCCUCAUCCAGCAGGAAAAUGGCAACCUCCGUCCUACAACCACAAGGAAUUGAAUUCUGCCCACAGCCCAAAUGUGCGGGAAGUGAUUCUCCCCUAGAACCUCCAGGAACAAACACAGCACUGCUGGCACCUUGAUUUUAGACCCUGCUGGACCUCUGGUCUGCAGAAUUGUAAAAAUAUAAAUUUGUGUUCUUUUAAGGCACAAAGUGUGUAGUAAUUUGUUAUAACAGCAAUUGAAAAUGAAUACAGCAGCAGAAUAAACAAAAAUCAUGACAUAUGUCACUGUAGGCCACCCCCUUGGUUCCUGAGCAAGUAUGCAUGUGUGCACAUACACAAGCACAUGCCUCUCCCCAUACCGAGAAUUCCAAAAUGACUGCACCUAUUAUAAUGCAAUGGUCCUUCUUUCAACCAUAAAAGCCUUCCUCCUCUUCCAAUGGGAGAUGGCCUAGAGUCAGAUCCACACAGGUCAUUCCACAAGUCGAGGAUCUGAGGAUGCCAUCAACCCCUCUGGGAAGGUAUAACUGCAGUUUCAUGAUCUUGCAACCUCUAGGUUCCAGACAAACGUAACUAUUACCAAGGUACCUAAUCUAAUCAAGGAGAGAAAACAAUUUGAGCCAAAAAAUUAAAGAGAGUCAGGUAUAGUAACCGUGGUCCAAACAACAUGUUGUAGCCCCCUGGGCAGUGCGGAAGGGAGACCCUUGGUCAGAUGGACACUUUGGCUGAUGCAGGUUCUAUCUGUGUGCAGGAUGUGGUUUCUGCUCCCUUUUAUUCUCUGUGGCCCUGCCAGAGAGGAGCCUGGUGAAGGGCUGUGGCCCAGGAUGGAGCAGCCAUGAAAGCCCACAUUCUGAGGGUGGGGGUGAGGAGCCUGAGCUGGCUCAGGGGACGGAACGGUCAUAGGCUCCUGCGUGCCAGGCCAGGGCACUGUGCUGCAUCAUUCUCCCCAACGCUGUGUGGAUGCCUAUCAAUUGAUUCUGGCUGUAAACAAACAUUUUCCUCUGAAUCUUGCCGUUCUUCCUGCCCUGUCUCCAGACCUUUAAUCCAUGACUUCUAUCCCUGCCUCCUCUCCGGCUCCAAGCAGUGGGAACAGAGAGCUGAGGUAGCACAAACACCCCCAGGAACUCUGCUCAGCCCCCAAGCCAUGAAGAAGUGAGAACUUGCACCAGGAGCAAACACAGCAAAAGGGGUUUGUGAGGGUGCAGGAUUCUCUGCUCCCCCAUCCUGAUUUCCAGAAUCCCAGUUUGAUGGUUCCCUGCCCAACUUUGUCAUGGGGAAAGGAAUUCAGAUUUACAGUUCAAAAAGAUGAUUGUGGGACUGUAAGUGGCCCUGGUCCCUGGCCUCGGGAAGGAGCACAUCUUUACAAUCUCAAUACACCUUUCCAGCUGGUGGCUGUCUGCUGUCAUAUUAGUAGUACUGAA
rnacentral:lncRNA from 1 species